GAACGCUAGCUACAGGCUUAACACAUGCAAGUCGAGGGGCAGCAUUGAGAUAGCUGCUAUUCAGAUGGCGACCGGCGCACGGGUGAGUAACGCGUAUCCCAACCUUCCCCUUAGUGGGGGAUAGCCCGGUGAAAAUCGGAUUAAUACCCUAUGUUGUUCGAAGCAGACAUCUAAAUGAACCAAAGGUUUACCGCUAAGGGGAUGGGGGAUGCGUCUGAUUAGGUAGUAGGCGGGGUAACGGCCCACCUAGCCGACGAUCAGUAGGGGUUCUGAGAGGAAGGUCCCCCCACAUUGGAACUGAGACACGGUCCAAACUCCUACGGGGAGGCAGCAGUGAGGAAUAUUGGUCAAUGGGCGCGAGCCUGAACCAGCCAAGUAGCGUGCAGGACGACGGCCCUAUGGGUUGUAAACUGCUUUUAUACAGGGAUAAAGUCACCUACGUGUAGGUGUUUGUAGGUACUGUAUGAAUAAGGACCGGCUAAUUCCGUGCCAGCCGCCGC
rnacentral:rRNA from 1 species